rnacentral:lncRNA from 1 species
AGGUUUCAUAACUCAUUAGCAUCAAAAUGCAAAAAUGCUUUAAGGCAAGAUAAAUUGGUCAGUAUAGCCCUGCAGUUGCUUGUCCCAGCUAGCCUGCCGAUCAAUGGCAGAUGCAAAGGCAAUAGCAGAUUUGUUCUUUUUCUGUCCUAUAAACAGUAUUUCUGAAGGCACGACUGCUGGCAUCACUGCACUGGUGAUGCUGGGGGCUGCUCCCGGUGCCCUGCGAGCAGUGUGCUCUGGCUGGGGGGAGCAGCCCAUCCUGCCUGCAGAUGUGCUCCCUCCUGCUAGUGCCCAUCCAUUGCUGCAGCUUCUUUCAUGCAGGCAGUGCACACAGCAUCCACCCUGAAUUAUUGAUGGGACUGCUUUAUCAUUUGGACAUCUUCUCAACAGGGUGCAAGGUCAAGCCGAUAAAAUCACUGCACAGCAGCACCACAGCCUGCCUCACAACUCGUCUUGUGGAUGGAGACCUACAAACAGACAUAUCAGCAUGGAAGAUUCAAGGGAGGGUUGAAGCAGUAGAGAAAUUCCCUGUCGGUGUAGCUGCAGCCCUGCAGAGCACACAGGGCAGCACAGCCGGAGCAGCCGGGGCUCGUGCUGAGCAGCACCAUGAGUGGAAAUUCCAGAAUGGGCUCACAGCAGGCAAGGUUACUGCCCCAAGUUAUUGCUGGCUGUGGGCUGCAGGAUCAUCCCACAGAACUUUAUGGGUAAAACCACUGUGAAGGUCUGCAGGAGACACAGAAAAUCAUCCAUCUGUAGCAGACUGGGGUAACCUCCCGUCAACCCCACCUGGAAGGAUGCUCCUUCAACUGCCGCUUGGCCAACUGUGACAUCGCCAAACUGCUCCACACAGAUGACUCAGGACAAAUGACAAGAGCAAACUUUUGUAUUCUAUAGUGCUUUCAUUCAGCUGAUGAAAAUCUCUUGCAUAAUGUGAAGAUAAACUUGGAACUUCAUGGAGAGAUUUGUCUGGCUAAGAGACAUCCUACCAAUUGGGAGAUGUUGUAUUUGGGAGAGAAAAUGUUGCAUGAAACCUAUCACACCUGUGGCAAGUGAUGUCAAAUGUGAUAUGCACAGGCACAAUCCUUUCUGUCCUGCUUUAUGUGGUAUUGUUAGACAAGUAUGUAGAUAUGUUUAGCUGAGAGGGAUUCUGAAGUGUCCAAUGAAAGCUGCUUAUGGUCCUGAAGACUCUACACCCGCUGAGCCCCUGACCGUGGGCAUUAACUCCUCCUCUGCCCACUCCAGCACUGUCUUUCUCGGCUGUGAGGACUGAUAAAACAGUGACACAGUACUUGGAUGUAGAUUUACUACCUACUUCACUUCCUACAGUGACUCUGUCCUUAGGACAUACUGCCAUUUAAAACAAAAACAAAAUACAACACAGAUUAAAAAAAAUAAUAAUUAAACUCAAAAUAAAGAAGAAACAUAAUACA